CAGUCGCCGCGGUAAUACGGAGGGUGCAAGCGUUAAUCGGAAUUACUGGGCGUAAAGCGCACGCAGGCGGUUUGUUAAGUCAGAUGUGAAAUCCCCGGGCUCAACCUGGGAACUGCAUUUGAAACUGGCAAGCUAGAGUCUCGUAGAGGGGGGUAGAAUUCCAGGUGUAGCGGUGAAAUGCGUAGAGAUCUGGAGGAAUACCGGUGGCGAAGGCGGCCCCCUGGACGAAGACUGACGCUCAGGUGCGAAAGCGUGGGGAGCAAACAGGAUUAAAUACCCCAGUAGUCCCUGUCUCUUAUAC
rnacentral:rRNA from 1 species